rnacentral:rRNA from 1 species
UACGUAGGGGCAAGCGUUAUCCGGAAUUAUUGGGCGUAAAGAGUGCGUAGGUGGUUACCUAAGCGCAAGGUUUAAUCUUGAGGCUCAACCUCAUUCUGCCUUGCGAACUGGGCUACUUGAGUGCAGGAGGGGAAAGCGGAAUUCCUAGUGUAGCGGUGAAAUGCGUAGAUAUUAGGAAGAACACCGGUGGCGAAGGCGGCUUUCUGGACUGUAACUGACACUGAGGCACGAAAGCGUGGGGAGCAAACAGGAUUAGAUACCCCCGUAGUCCCUGAG